GAAGUUGCCGGCCGGGAGCAGGGUGCACGGCUCCGGGCGUCCCUGGAUGUGUUGGGGAUCAGUCUCUGGGCGAGAGGACUCGGAAGGGGGAGAGCGACAUUCAGAAGCGCGGCGCAGGGCGAGACCUGGUGACCAUGGCGGGGCCGCAGUCUUUAGCGCUGCAGCUGGAACAGUUGUUGAACCCGCGACCGCGCGAGGCGGAUCCUGAGGCCGACCCGGAGGAGGCCACUGCUGCCAAAGUGAUUGACAGGUUUGAUGAAGGGGAAGAUGGGGAAGAUGAUUUCCUGGCGGUGGGUAGCAUUAGAAAGCUGGCAUCAGCCUCCCUCUUGGACACAGACAAGAGGUAUUCUGGCAAGACCACCUCUAGAAGAGCUUGGAAGGCAGACCAUUGGGAGCAGACUCUGCCAGGUUCAUCUGAGAAUGAUAAACAGACCAGUCCUGGGACCAGUAUGAUAUUUAUUGAGCUCUCACCAUGUGUCAGGCACUAUGAUAAAGAAAUAUCUGAUGAGGAAGGGUCUGGAGAUGGAGAUUCAGAGGGUCUGGGCCUGGAGGAAUCCGGUGAGGAUGCCAUGAGUGCUGAGGAACUGGAGUGUGCUGAUGGUGACAGUAGCCUGGCCUGGAAAAAGAGGAGCAGAAGCCACUCCAGGAAGGCGUCGGGCUUCAGUGUCCAGAGCAUCAGUGACUUUGAAAAGUUUACCGAGGGAAUGGAUGACCUCGGUAGCAGUGAGGACGAGGAAGACGAAGAGCAGGAGAGUGGUAUGGAGGAAGGGGGUGGUGAGGAAGACUUUGAAGGUGAGAGUGAGGAAGACAAGGCCGAAGACAGGACCAGUGAGGACGACGGGGUGGUGAUGACCUUCUCCGAGGUCAAAGUUUCCGAGGAAGUGGAGAAAGGCCAAGCUGUGAAGAACCAGAUAGCACUGUGGGACCAGCUCUUGGAAGGAAGGAUAAAGCUACAAAAAGCUCUGCUGACCACCAAUCAGCUUCCUCAACCAGAUGUUUUCCCUAUUUUCAAGGACAAAGGUGGCCCAGAAUUUGCCAGCGCCUUGAAAAACAGUCACAAGGCACUUAAAGCAUUGUUGAGGUCAUUGGUAGAUCUUCAGGAAGAGUUGCUUUUCCAGUAUCCAGACACUAGAUAUCUAGUAGAUGGGACAAAGCCCAAAGCAGAAAGUGAGGAGGAGAUUUCCAGUGAAGAUGAAGAGCUCGUAGAAGAGAAGCAGCAGCAGCAGAGGAGGGCCCCAGCAAAGAGGAAGCUGGAGACUGAGGACUACCCCAGCUUCAUAGCGAAGCGCUUCGCCGACUUCACCGUCUACAGGAACCGUACGCUCCAGAAGUGGCAUGAUAAGACCAAGCUGGCUUCUGGAAAACUGGGGAAGGGUUUUGGUGCCUUUGAACGUUCAAUCUUGACUCAGAUUGAUCAUAUUCUGAUGGACAAAGAAAGAUUACUUCGAAGGACACAGACCAAGCGCUCUAUCUACCGAGUUCUUGGCAAACCUGAGCCGGCAGCCCAGCCUGUCCCAGAGAGUUUGCCAGGACAGCCGGAGAUCCUUCCUCAAGCCCCUGCCAGUGCCCACCUGAAGGACCUGGAUGAAGAAAUCUUUGAUGAUGAUGACUUUUACCACCAGCUCCUUCGAGAACUCAUAGAACGGAAGACCAGCUCCUUGGAUCCCAAUGAUCAGGUGGCCAUGGGAAGGCAGUGGCUUGCAAUCCAGAAGUUAAGAAGCAAAAUCCACAAGAAAGUAGAUAGGAAAGCCAGCAAAGGAAGGAAACUUCGGUUUCACGUCCUUAGCAGGCUUCUGAGCUUCAUGGCACCUAUUGACCAUACCACAAUGAAUGAUGAUGCCAGGACAGAGCUGUAUCGAUCUCUUUUUGGCCAACUCAACCCCCCUGACGAAGGCCACGGGGACUGACGGCGCCCAUCUCCCUGUGGCCCGGGGCCUGAGGCGGGACCUCCGCACACCCAGCCCCACAUAGAGGAACUCGGGAAAUCCCGGGAACGUGUGCUGUUCAGAACACGGGCCUGACGAGUGCCCGGAAACCUGGAAUCCAGCAUCUGUGUCACCGGAAUCCCACGUGUCAUUGACGUGGUGUCUGUGGACUGCGACACAGCGCCCAGAGGCUGGGUUCCAAACGAAUGUGUCUCCAGUUACCUAAAAGAUCACUCAACGGAAAUAGAAGAUUUCCCCUACAGUCACUCGAAUAUAGACCAUCCAACCCCAUCCAUCUAGCCUGAGGAUCCCAGAUAAACCCACGUUAGAACAGCAAGUAAGUAACCUCUUAACGCGGCACUUCCCGUGAGCAUGAUGCAGACCCACGAUUCCUAAAGAGAUGGAACCUUUGUCACAGUCACUCUCUACCUGAUGAAGAAAAAAUUUAAGCAGGUACUUCAAAAUAUUUGGAGUCCAUCAUGUUUAAUUAAAAUGAAUUAAAAUCAGGAGAGAUGAGAAAGAACGGAUAGAAUUUUCAGUAAAGGGAGGCUUGCAUUUUAAAAUUCAGAGGACCACCCUCCUUCCAGCCAAGAGUAAAUUGGAAACUAUUUUAAUUGACACGGAUACUGCAAUUCAACUGUUACUAGAAAGACAGAUUAGUUGAUUGAUUUGCAUUUUAAUAAAACGAAUACUUUACAUUUUGGUGGCUAAUGCUGAUUUUGAAAUGAGUUGAGAACUGUUAUCAAGAGUUUCAAUCCAGGGCCCUUUUUCAGUGUUGACUGAAGCAUUCCUCCCUUUUGUGCGGAGUUGGCUUAUUUUCUUUUUGUCCAGUUGACUCCUUCACGCAUGACCCUCCUAAACCACAGCCCCUGAAGACACCAUCAGAGCAGCGAGGAAACCGCAGGGCCCACCCAGCCCAGGUGUGCACCCGGGGCCGGAAGCAGGCCGUGGGCUUUGCCCUUCGGGAUAGAGAAGUUAAGGCUGGUUUCUCAUCUUAGUUUAUUUUACGUGAAAAAUUAAUUACAGAAAAGUGGAAGGAACAAAUGGAAAUAAGACUUGGCUGUAACUCCACCACUCAGAAAGAUCCCCUUCUCGUAGUUAACCUGUAUUCCUUCGUAGCCCUCUUCAGUGUAGAUGCUGUGAUACCCAGUAGACUCCUCUCUGGGGGGAGGGCCCAGGGAGCAGUGCAGGUGGAAGACUUCGUUUUUCCUUCUGGACUGUUUGAAAUGUUACCCUUUUAAAAACAGUAAAAACAAAAUGUCCGUGCAGCAUGUCCCCCUCCGCAUAACACACGUAUACCACCCGUUGAGAACCAGUGGUACGUUGUAUUCUGCAUUUUAAUACUAAUAGUAGAGGGGAAGGUUGUUUCCACGUUUUUGCAGAUCUCAUUGAAGCAUUUUAACUGCUAACUGAUAAUUCCAUUGGGGGCGUGUCUCUUCAGUACUGAACCAGAUCCCCUCUUGUUGAACACUUAAAUUGUUAUAAUUAUUUGCUAUUAUGAAUAAUGUUAUAGGAAAAUAUUUGUGCAUAAAGCUUGUUUGUUGUCUUUGAAAAUUA